AGCUGGGACUACAGGCGCUGCCACCGCACCCAGCUAAUUUUUUGUAUUUUUAGUAGAGACGGGGUUUCACCGUGUUAGCCAGGAUGGUCUUGAUCUUCUGACUUUGUGAUCUGCCCGUCUCAGUCUCCCAAAGUGCUGGGAUUACAGGCGUGAGCCACCGCGCCCGGCGAUAGAUAGCAUUUCUUAUCAGAGUCUCUUGCCAGGCAAGAACAGUCAAGGCUUGACCGGUUUUAUUAGUAAUAAUUUUUAAAACAGCUUGCAACUGUAUGAUUCCGUUGAGCAUGUAGAUGGGGGUUCGAUAACCUCAUGAGCUGUCUUGUGUCUAAGUGGCAGGCUUACAGUAUUAUAUAAUUUUUUUAGGAGGUCAUUUAUCAUCUUUCUAAUUACCUAUGGCUAUGUUUCAUUUUUCACGGGGGAAGCAUAGACUGGGAAGCCUAGAAGUUCACCUGUAUUUAUGGGCAGUAAGAAGAAAGAUGGCUUACUGGUGCCAAUUACACAGCUCUGUCCACUGAUCAGGCAGCUUAGCAUAAGCUCUGUCUAUGUAUCUAGUAUAACCUGGUGGGGGCCAUCUAGUCCUGGUGGAAUUCUGGGUGGGCCUAAACAGUCUGCAACUUUGGAAAUUUACUGAAUGGAUUUCUUUUUGUGUAAUUGGAACUUUACUAUGUAACUGUUUUUGUGGUACUAUUAUACAACUUUUGCCUAAGACAACUAAGCUGCCUUACAGGAUGAUGAGUGAAUUUUUUUCUUUCUCUAGCUAUGCAAUACUGUCUAAUAAUUGAGACUUUUAGAACUUAAAAAUUGUCAGAGUGGUUCUUUUGGGCUGGGAAUUCAUCAGGAACUGGUUUUGUAGGAACUAAUUCUCGGGCUUCCUAUGGCCAUUGAUCUCUUGUUACAGUUCUCCUACAAACAUAACAUGAGGUGACUCGUAGAGACUGGGCUACAUGUUCGGCUAAUUGCAAAAACAAAUUUUUAGUUUUUCCUGGAAUGUUAGGUGCUGGCACAUUUAGUUCAUCAUAGAAAGUCUGAAAUACUGGUUCUGGAGAGCAUUUUUCAACUUCUUUUUUUAUUAGGAUGUUUACACUAGGAUCUAGUUUUUUUUUCAUCAAUGCUUAAUGUUACUUUUUUUUAAUUUUACUUUGGGUCUGAUGGGUUUGUGAUUAUCAAUUUUAAAAGGUUGCAGCUCCCACUCAUGCAAGAGGGGCUGACUUUUCUUUUUUGCAGCUAAACAGGAUCUUUUUUUAAUCUUCUUUUUAAGUAGCCUAAAUGACAUAAGACUAGUAUUGACACAUCUCACAUAAAUAUGAUUCUUGACAGAUAUACUUAUUUUUUUUUACUCUGUAACUUUUUCUUCUAAUUUAGAGAACUGCAUCUUAUUCUAUGCUGCUUACUAUCAAUAGUGGCACAAGCAUCAAAUUUUAAGGUUAUAUUUUUGGGGACCCCUCUUCUGUUCUAGCUAUUAUUUUACUUGUGUCACUUAGAAAAAGACUAGUCUUUAAUUUUAUUUUAAAAACUGUAAUCAUGGGAGGCUUAAAAUGGGUUAUAACACACAUCAGGUUGGUUAUUCCUUGGGCUACAUACUUUGGAUAGAAUAGCAUUAUACAAACAAAUUUCUUUUAGAAUCCUGGUACACUUAUAAUAACUAUAAAAUAAUAGGACUGUAGCAAUCUUUUGUCUUACUUCAGUGACUUGAUGUAUAUACUGGAAACAGUUCUUUGUCUGAGGAAGGUCAGUUGAAGUCCUUACUGUACAAGUCUAAAUUUUAAGGAAAAUGAGUCCUGCGAUGAGUUUCUUCAUGCUUCAGUCGUGCGUGGACCAGUCAGCUGCCGGGUGUGACUGCAGCAGGGCUUGUCGUCUUCUUCAGAGUCACUUUGCAGGGGUUGGCAAAGCUCCUCUUAUCUACGUACAGCUCCUAGUCUACUGAUGUUUAAGGGUGGUCUCAGAGGUUGGGCCCACUAGAAUAAACUGAGUCCAGCACCUCUGAACAGUUAUGUUUAACUGGGCUCUUUGAUACUAGGAGUAAGGUGGCGGGGUUAGGGUGUUGCAAACUUCAAUGGUUAUGUGGGGAUUUUAGCUCACUGCAUCCUUGCAGGUCUCCAAGGAAUGCUAAAUCUCCUCUCUGCCGUGAGAUACAAGAAGUGAACUUAGUGUUGGGAGACGGAAGCUGGAAGGCCCUCGGGGGCUGAUCCACAGGGACUUCGGGAUAUAGCAGAGAGAGCUAUAUGUUACUCCAGGCUGUAGAAUCCUGGAAAAGAGCUACCAUGCAGCCCACACCUGGUCAACUACAGGACCACCUUAGUGGAAGGGGGACAAUCAGGGCCUCUGGCCUGCCAGGUGCACAAGCAUAACAAUUGCUUUUGUUUAAUGUGCAGAUGGAAUAUUUGAUCUAUUUCAAGCAGGCAUUUGCAUCUUGGUGUGCUGUCUCAAUUGCCAAAGUUUGUUUUAAGUCUUUAACUUCUAUCAUCCUCUAGUAAAAUGAAUGCUUCCUUUAGCACCGAUUUUUAUUAGUUUUUAGACCAAAGAAAGCUGAACACCAUUUUAUAUUUAAUAAUGCUUCUUGUAUGAUUUUUAUACCAGAUAAGCUAAAUUUUACUUUUAUAUUAGUGUGUUACUAAUGUUAAAUUUAAUUUGAAUAAAACUUUGUAGACAUAUUUAUCUAAUUUUUCAUGUUUGACCAUAAGGUUAGAUUUUAUAGACUCUUUUUAACUUUUUGUAAUUUUUGUUAAAGAGCAGGUUGAUGCUUUAAGAAAAAACCUGUUGCAUUUUUACUUUGAUGUCCAUUUCACAGAAAAACCGGAUGAUACCUUUUUAACUUUAGCUAAUAUGUUUACACACAGAAUUUUCUUUACAAUUAGUUUUAAAACUUGCUUAAAUUUUCAAACAAUAAUUUUUUUAACUUUUUAAUAUAGGUAAAAAUCCACAUUCUUAUGCCUCCUUAUAAUCUUUUUACUAUAGGUAUAUUUUACUUUUCUUAUACACCUUGUACAUAAACUGUUUCUUCAGUAAUACACAGGAGGCCUUAUUACUUUUAAAUUAUACAUUUUUUGCAUAAAAAAAUUUUUUAAACAAACUUUCUUUAUGUCUUUGGACUAGACUGUCUAAGGCUACCAGACUAGAAGUUACUAUAAUACAUGCUACGCUGUUAACUUUUAGCAAACUUCACUUUUGUUGAAAACCUUGUAAGUUUGGGACUUCAAUUAUCCUUUGCUAUUAAUAAGACCUUGUUUAGUCUAAAUUAACUUAGGAUUGGUAUAGAUGGCCUCUUUUUCUCUCUGCUGGUCUUCUCUUGCCUCUGCCAGCCAUUUAUGCUGCUGUUCUUUUAACUACUGUGGGGGGCGGGGGGAGAGGAUCUAAAACCAGGUGUAACUGUCUGUGUACGGAAACUGGUCUGGGUGCCUUGGCUUACAGGUUACCUUGUGCCAUAUCUUUGAAACUAGGGACCCGUCCAGGCUUCCUUCUGAUGGCUAACCUACCUCAAA
rnacentral:lncRNA from 1 species